rnacentral:ribozyme from 11 species
ACCCUGAUUCCAUUCCUUCAAAGUAUGACUCAGAAACAAGGAAAGAAAGAAAGAAAGAAGGAACAAAAAGAUGUUGUAGGCUUCUUGUCUCUCCUGUUCAUGGUCUCCAUUCUUAUUUUCCU